rnacentral:lncRNA from 1 species
GUUUGCGGCAACCGUGGGCACUGCUGAAUUUGAAUUGAGGGGCGAGAGAAAAGUUUUCCUCAGGUGUGGUGGGGUGAGGGAGGCGGAUGCCGGGAAACCGUAGGGACGUGGUCAGAAAGGCGACGGGCUGUCGGAGUUGGAAAGGGCCUACUGCAGUGCAUGAAGGUGGUAUGGACUCAGAACUCUGAAGUCUGAGGAGACAAAUACGUGCCCACCAUAACAACAUCACACAAUACCUAGAGUCAAAACAGUUAUCCCUAUUCCUACCCCCAACUGAGUUAUUCAAUAAAGCCUGCCUUAUGGAAUCUGUUUUCCCAUGUAUAGU